GCGCAGCAGGCGCGAAACCUUCGCAAUGCGGGAAACCGCGACGAGGGGACUCCCAGUGCCUACGCUCAGCGUAGGCUGUUCCCGAGCCUAGAAAGCUCGGGGAGUAAGGGCUGGGUAAGACGGGUGCCAGCCGCCGCGGUAAUACCCGCAGCCCGAGUGGUGGCCACUAUUAUUGGGCCUAAAGCGUCCGUAGCCGGCCCGGUAAAUGCCUGGGUAAAUCGUGAGGCCUAACCUCACGAAUUCCGGGUAGACUGCCGGGCUAGGGACCGGAGGAGGGAGAGGGUACUCCAGGGGUAGGGGUGGAAAUCCUGUAAUCCCUGGAGGACCACCGGUGGCGAAGGCGCUCUCCUAGGACGGGUCCGACGGUGAGGGACGAAAGCCAGGGGAGCGAACCGGAUUAGAUACCCCUGUAGU
rnacentral:rRNA from 1 species